rnacentral:rRNA from 1 species
UACGUAGGGUGCAAGCGUUGUCCGGAAUUAUUGGGCGUAAAGAGCUCGUAGGCGGUCUGUCGCGUCUGCUGUGAAAACUCGGGGCUCAACCCCGAGCCCGCGUUCGAUACUGGGCGGCUAGAGUCUGGUAGGGGGAUCUGGAAUUCCUGGUGUAGCGGUGGAAUGCGCAGAUAUCAGGAGGAACACCGGUGGCGAAGGCGGGAUCCUGGGCCAGUACUGACGCUGAGGAGCGAAAGCGUGGGGAGCGAACAGG